UAGUAACUCUGAUAUUGGCCUGGUUCACUCAGACACACACUAUUUUGCUUUGAUUGAGCCGUGUCAAUAUCUCAGUUCCUUUU
rnacentral:pre_miRNA from 1 species